rnacentral:lncRNA from 1 species
CGUUGGCUCACAGGUCUGAAUCACAGAGAAAAGAGCCUCCCUGCGAAGCUGACAGUUCAAAGAUACAAAGGAAAAAUUUGCAAGGACACACAUGGAAAACUUGAGUUGUGCUCAAGUAAAUUUGAUUCACUGUAAAUGUCACUGCAGAUAAAGCUUUUCAAGAAGGGUGCAAGAGUAGACAGGACUUGGAGGAUCAGCUAGUAACCUGCUGGACACAUGGAUAGGUCAUGUGGAUUCCUUACACGGCAGGAAGUUGGAAGUUGGACAACCUACUUGGAUUUCAUCCGUAAGACCAUGGACAACAUAUGAAGCUUCAAGGACUGCUUAGAGAAGAUAAGUGAUUUCUGCACUCACCUUCUAUUUUACUGAGGACUGGAGUAGGCCUCAUUCAGUGUAACAGCAAGCGACAAGCUGAGCCAGAUAAUCAGCUUCUCUGUGUACAUACUCAGAGCAGAAAUUUGUCUGAGCUUGUAGAUCAGAGGCCUGGACAGUGUGAGGGUGAGAUGUCUCGGACAUUGAGGAAUUUUGUCCUCUUUUCUUUCCACAGAAGAUGGAGAGAUAUAACAACUGCUACUUGGGAACACAGCUACAUAAACAGUAGAAAAAUUCAGCUUGGAAAAAAACGUGGACAUCUGUACUUGAAGACCAUAUUCACUGCAAGUCUAACUUCCCAUUGGAUCAGCUUGCUCAAGGUCUUAAAUGAGUUCUGCCAGUUUCCCAGGAUGGUGUUUAUACAACCUUUCCAGAAAACUUGUUCUGCUACUUAACCAUCCUAAAUGUUAACUUUUAUUUUUUCCCUUUACGUCUAGUUGUGCACUUUCUUACUCGGUAUCACGUGGUACAUUUGGAAUGAUAAGACUACCAAGUAUGUUUAAACAGCAGACCUAAGGAAUGUUUUCUUCCUCCCUGGAUGUUUAUGCACUUUCUGGCUGUGUCCUGUCACUGACAAGUUACAUACAUACACAGUAGAAGCGUAUUAUUUGAGCCAGAGCUGAUCUGGCACCAGGACUUCAGACUCAUCGGGGAUUUGUCACAUGAGGUGCUCUGUAUCUGGUAGUACACAUUGUGUCUGGUAUGAACAAGGUAAGAGAAAAGAUGGUGAUGAGUUACCUAGGGAUGUAAGUAGCCCACUUCAAAUCAAGUAUGUCUCCUCUGUUCUACUGAUCCAUAUUACAGUCUCAUCUCCUCUUGCACCAACAGCAAUGAAAUUUCUUCCCUCCUUUCUCCUCUGGUCCUCUUUCUCAAGUUUUUUUUUUUUUUUAAUUAAUAUAAACUGCAAAAAUAUUUAAAUCUUUAAUGUGGUAAUUUGCAACUAAAGGUGAAGGAUCAGUUGAGCAGAGAACCUGUAUGAAUCUGCACACUUGUAGAGAGCAAAGUUAGACUGGGGUCAUCCCAGUCCAGCCAAGAUGAAAUGAGUAAGAACUCUGACAAGAAAAUUAAAACUACCUCAUGCACACUGGAGAAUCUAUACACAAUCUACACUCACCUAUAUAACAGCUUUCAGUCUGCUGAAAAUUUUGGUCAAUUCCCAAAUUUACUGUGUUAUCUUUAGCUUUGUAUAUGCCAUUUUUUCCUAUGUGACUUCUAAAAUCAAUUCC